GAUACGACAGAAGGAAGAGACACCAUCCAAUGGAACAGAAGCAUUAAAUGCACAGAACUGUAUGCUACUAAUCAGACCUAAACUUUCUGACAGCACUAUCAAAAAAGUAUUUUUUUCCACCAGGAUCUCCUCCAGUUGCUGCUGUUUCUGUGUUGUUUGAAAAAGACCAUUAUGGCCCGGAGAUGGGAAGGAGAGGUGAUACAGGGAUUCUGCUUGAAAUCCUAUCCUUCAGGCAAUCAGAUGUUGCAGACACACGUCAUGUUUCCUUCAGACUGGGAUCAUUCAGUGCUGCCUGAAAUAGGAUAUGAGGAAAAUUCUUUGCCAGAGAUACCAGCUACUGUCAUCAAUACUGCCCAUCCAACACAGGCUACAGUGCCGUGUUCAUACUUUAAACUCUUGGAGAAAAGUCUACCUUGCCUUCCACCCAAACCUGGGUUUUCAAACAGACUUUGGAACAGCUGUGUAGCUGGUUGAAAAAACCAUUCCACCUUCGUCAUCUUCGAGAAGCACCGGAUUUACCCUGCCUGUGUCUUGGAGUAUACAUGCUCACCCCAGUAAGGAUCCUUCAAGAGAAGCAGAAUGUUUAACAACACGCAAGCCCGAAUGAGUGCCAUACACAGACAUCUGUCCUUACAUGCAACAAGUCCAUCUACUGAUGAAACUACUUUUGUUCCCCCUCAUCGGUCCUCAUGUUCACGCUGCUUGGAGGCUGAGCAGAUGACAGCACACAGAAAGACCCCCAUUUACUGUGACUGGGGAUUACCACCUGGUUUUCUGCUUCCAUUAGAAACUGAGCCCUAGUAAUAGUAGGCAGUGUGUGUGUGUGCUCAGAGCCAAAACAACACAGUGUUCCUUCUCCAGCUGAGCAGGUCUCUAUUUUUUUUAUUUAUUUAUUUUAAGUAUUUUCAAGUACUCAGUUCCUUCUAAGAGAACCUCCAUUCUUUGCCUUAUUAAUUGCUCUUAUUUUUUCAAAGCUGAGUGAGAACAAGUCCUGUGGCUUAGGUCACACUCAGAAGGAUCUUAUUUACUAAUGCUCCUGGCAAACAAAUUAGUGAGUGCCCGAUUACUGAAUGAAUUAAUGAGGAUUCC
rnacentral:lncRNA from 7 species